rnacentral:misc_RNA from 1 species
GAUGAAGAACGUAGCGAAAUGCGAUAAGUAAUGUGAAUUGCAGAAUUCAGUGAAUCAUCGAAUCUUUGAACGCACAUUGCGCCCGCCAGUAUUCUGGCGGGCAUGCCUGUCUGAGCGUCAUUUCAACCCUCAUGCCCCUAGGGCGUGGUGUUGGGGAUCGGCCAAAGCCCGCGAGGGACGGCCGGCCCCUAAAUCUAGUGGCGGACCCGUCGUGGCCUCCUCUGCGAAGUAGUGAUAUUCCGCAUCGGAGAGCGACGAGCCCCUGCCGUUAAACCCCCAACUUUCCAAGGUCGACCUCAGAUCAGGUAGGAAUACCCGCUGAACUUAAGCAUAUCAAUAAGCGGAGGA